ACAUGAGCUAGCUAGCUAAUUUCAAAUUUUCAUCUUCUGUACAAAUAUGUGAGCCUGAAAACCUAAUGUUUUCUGAUUAAUUUAUAGUUAAAUACUUAACUCGAUCAACAAACCAUGAGAGCAGAUUACAUGUCUCUCUGUUAAUAACCCACUUUGUAGUGGGAUAGUAAUCUAAGAAUCCACUCCACAGGAUGAAAUAUCAGCGUCCAGUUCUAUACUCCUUACCGCAGUCCAACUGUAGUACCUCACCGGUGCAUGGGAGUGGUCCAAAACGAGCAUUUCGCACAACAUUAGAUCAGAUGCUGCCUAAACACCGUGGCAGAGGACUGGACACCAGCCAAUGGUGGCAGGAUAGCUCCGGUGCCCUCAAUGAACGAUAAAGGCAUAUAUGUAGCUUGGUUGCUUGGAAGGUGGACUUCAAAAGCCACAUACUAAUUCUUGAUGUGCCUCCUAAGCCUAAUAUAUGCUUGAGGACAUGACCAUACAUAUAUUGUCUUUUAUGUUGAUGAUCUGGAUUUGUCGGGCCAACUAUGCAUAUGUAUCGGCACACAUAUAUCACUGCCCUUAUAUAGGUGCUGACUGCAGCAAAAAAAACCAGCACCUAUACAGGUGUCAGAUGAGAGCACCAACUAACAGCUGUAAACAUGUUAUAGAUGCCGGUUUUUGAAUAGAAACUGGUAAGGUGGGCUCUGCAAUCGUAGACAAAGGUGUUGGUUAAUAAAGAAAAAACCAAGAGUAAAAGCCUCCUCCUUAUCCUCGGUUUCUCACAACACAAGCCUUCUCCUCUCCACCACUCUCUCGUUCCCUCUACUCUUCCACAUCCUACUGCGGUACCGCCCCAAACCAUGUCCAACAACACCAGUGGCAUCAGCCCCUACCACCACCAUGGCCUCCUCCCCCUACCCAAGAACUACCACCAGCAGCAGGCACUGCACUUACCUUCGUUGCACCAGCUCUAGUCUGUCAUGCAGCUCUGCGAUAUGCCCUCUGGUAUGAUGUUACUUUGUUUGGUGACUUGUGCCUAUGAUUGAAUUGUGAAUUUGAUAUUUUGUACUCUGUUUGUGUGGAUUUUAGACGAUUCGUGUGAAUUUAUCACUGAACCUUUGAUCGAAGUAUGGGAAUAUGUUAUCCAUGUUUGAUUUGUGGAAUGGAUUCUAUAAAAAUUAUUGUUUUUGUCUUUUCUUUUUUUUUUUGCCGAAACAUACUUAUAGGUGCCAAUUUGUUAUGGCCUUAGCCGAUACCCAUGGCACUUGUAGAUAUCGGUUCUAGACAUGAACUAUAAGUACUAUAGGUAUUAGU
rnacentral:lncRNA from 1 species